rnacentral:rRNA from 1 species
GGGAAUAUUGGACAAUGGGCGAAAGCCUGAUCCAGCCAUGCCGCGUGUGUGAAGAAGGUCUUCGGAUUGUAAAGCACUUUAAGUUGGGAGGAAGGGCAGUAAGUUAAUACCUUGCUGUUUUGACGUUACCAACAGACUAAGCACCGGCUAACUUCGUGCCAGCAGCCGCGGUAAUACGAAGGGUGCAAGCGUUAAUCGGAAUUACUGGGCGUAAAGCGCGCGUAGGUGGUUCAGCAAGUUGGAGGUGAAAUCCCCGGGCUCAACCUGGGAACUGCCUCCAAAACUACUGAGCUAGAGUACGGUAGAGGGUAGUGGAAUUUCCUGUGUAGCGGUGAAAUGCGUAGAUAUAGGAAGGAACACCAGUGGCGAAGGCGACUACCUGGACUGAUACUGACACUGAGGUGCGAAAGCGUGGGGAGCAAACAGG